rnacentral:tRNA from 1 species
UCAAAAAGAGUUUUGCAGAAUACUAACUUUGGGAGUUAGAGGGUAGUUAAGGAUACUAUUUUUGAA